rnacentral:lncRNA from 1 species
AGAGUUGAGGAGGGAGGGACUAAACAAGAGCGGAGAGAAAGACAGGGCAAAACAUUUUGAAAAAGAGAGGGGAGGAACAGAUGGGGGGGACUGAACCAUGGAAGUGAGAGAGAGGGGGGAAGGUGGAGCCUCAUUCAGAACAGCUAGUGUGCAGAGCAGAGCAGGGAAGAACUUACGAGUAAAUAGUGCAGGAUAUUUCCAGUCUACUCCGCCUGAGGCUGGAGCCCUAGCAGCUUCAAAAGCAGACAGAGUGAUAAGUAUGAGGAACCUGUCAGUAUAGAAGCAGGACGUUCAUGGGAAGUAACAUAAAUAGUCCACAGGGAGUAACUGAAGCUUGUUAGUGGAACUACUGAGGACAGAAGAGCUUGUCUCAGCCACAACAGAGGGAUGAAGGGGAGGAGGAAGAUGAAGAGCAAGGGGAGAAGUUUGGGUUUGUCGACAGUGCUGAUGAAGAGAAAGAGCCAGCGGAUUGUAAAGACCCUGUCUCAGACUUUGUAAAAGCCAGUCAAAAAUCAAACCAGUCAUUUAAGGAGGCUACAAACCCACCACAGGACAACACACUAACACCCACUGCACACUCACAACAGCACCUCAAUGCAAUGCCCCCUGCUGGUCAGGAGGACGCUCCCUCCCAGAGACAAUACUCCACAGCCUCUCCAGAUGUUCCAGUUAGCGACCCACGCAGGCGGGUCUCUGGCCCCGUUGAGCUGGUUGAGCCCAGUGCCGGAGCACCCUCCAUGGGAGAGCAGGCCCAGGGAGGUUCUGGUCCUGGAGAGGCAUUACCUGUGGAGAAGCAGACGGACUGGGAGGACCAUAGUGUGGAGAUACCCAAGGAGAGCUCAAGUCUGAGGGAACACUCUGAAGAAGAUGUGACUGAUGCUGAGGCUGAGGCUGAUGCAGAGCCCCAGACAGGAAUCCUAGAGGUGAUCUAUGAUGACGUGCCCUGUGAGGGACCACUCUCUCCUGACGAAGGGGACAUGCUCUAUGAGGAUGUGCACAGAGAAGAAGGGCCCCAGGGUGCAGGCAAUGAUUGGAGCUCCAGUGAGUUUGAGAGCUACGAAGAGCAGUCUGAUGCCGAAAGCAAACUACCAACCCUCAGCAAGGUUCAUCAGCUAAUGAAGGC